rnacentral:rRNA from 1 species
GACGAACGCUGGCGGCGUGCCUAAUGCAUGCAAGUCGCACGCGGCACCUUCGGGUGCUGAGUGGCGAACGGCUGAGGAACACGUGGGGACCUGUCCGGGAGUGGGGGACAACACCGCGAAAGCGGUGCUAAUCCCGCAUACGCUCUGAGGAGGAAAGCCGAAAGGCGCUCCCGGGUGGCCCUGCGGCCCAUCAGGUUGUUGGUGGGGUAACGGCCUACCAAGCCAAUGACGGGUCGCUGGUCUGUGAGGACGACCAGCCAGACUGGGACUGGGACACGGCCCAGACUCCUACGGGAGGCAGCAGCAAGGAAUUUUCGGCAAUGGGCGCAAGCCUGACCGAGCAACGCCGCGUGCAGGAAGACGGCCUUCGGGUUGUAAACUGCCUUUGCUAGGGGUGAUAACAGACAGUACCUGGCGAAUCAGCCCCGGCUAACUCUGUG